AAUGAACGUUGGCGGCGUGGAUUAGGCAUGCAAGUCGUGCGAGAACCGUAGCAAUACGGGGACAGCGGCGAAAGGGAGAGGAAUACGCGGGUACCUACCCUCGGAUCUGGGAUAGCCACGGGAAACUGUGGGUAAUACCAGAUAACAUCUUCGGACCAAAGGUGUGAUUCCGUCCGGGGAGGGGCCCACGUCCUAUUAGCUUGUUGGUGAGGUAACGGCUCACCAAGGCGAAGAUGGGUAUGGGAUGUGAGAGCAUGAUCCCACUCACUGGGACGGAGACACUGCCCAGACCCCUACGGGUGGCUGCAGUCGAGAAUCUUCGGCAAUGGGGGCAACCCUGACCGAGCGACGCCGCGUGCGAGAUGAAGGCCUUCGGGUUGUAAAUCGCUGUCAGAGGGGAGGAAAUGCCGGUGGGUUUUCCUGCCGGUUUGACCUAUCCUCAGAGGAAGGACGGGCUAAGUUCGUGCCAGCAGCCGCGGUAACAC
rnacentral:rRNA from 1 species